UGGGGAUUAGCCAAGCGGUAAGGCAACGGACUUUGACUCCGUCACCCCUAGGUUCGAAUCCUAGAUCCCCAGCCA
rnacentral:tRNA from 2 species